rnacentral:rRNA from 1 species
GACGAACGCUGGCGGCGUGCCUAAUACAUGCAAGUCGAACGCUUCUUUCCUCCCGAGUGCUUGCACUCAAUUGGAAAGAGGAGUGGCGGACGGGUGAGUAACACGUGGGUAACCUACCCAUCAGAGGGGGAUAACACUUGGAAACAGGUGCUAAUACCGCAUAACAGUUUAUGCCGCAUGGCAUAAGAGUGAAAGGCGCUUUCGGGUGUCGCUGAUGGAUGGACCCGCGGUGCAUUAGCUAGUUGGUGAGGUAACGGCUCACCAAGGCCACGAUGCAUAGCCGACCUGAGAGGGUGAUCGGCCACACUGGGACUGAGACACGGCCCAG